GCGCCCGUAGCUCAAUUGGAUAGAGUACUUGACUACGAAUCAACGGUUAGAGGUUCGAGUCCUCUCGGGCGCGCCA
rnacentral:tRNA from 1 species